rnacentral:rRNA from 1 species
CCGCGGUAAUACGUAGGGGUCGAGCGUUAUCCGGAUUCAUUGGGCGUAAAGCGCGCGUAGGCGGCCGCCUAAGCGGAACCUCUAACCCCGGGGCUCAACCUCGGGCCGGGUUCCGGACUGGCAGCCUCGAGUGCGGUAGGGGUAAGCGGAAUUCCCGGUGUAGCGGUGGAAUGCGCAGAUAUCGGGAAGAACACCGAUGGCGAAGGCAGCUUACUGGGCCGACACUGACGCUGAGGCGCGAAAGCUAGGGGAGCGAACAGG